rnacentral:rRNA from 1 species
GAUGAACGUUGGCGGCGUGCCUAACACAUGCAAGUCGAACGCUGGUAGCAAUAUCAGAGUGGCGCACGGGUGAGUAACACGUAGCUUACCUACCUCAAAGCGCGGGAUAACGUUCCGAAAGGAAUGCUAAUACCGCAUAAGCUCCCGGUCUGUAGAGGGCUGAGAGAAAAGGGGCAACUCACUUUGAGAUGGGGCGUGCGGCCCACUCAGCUGGUUGGUGAGGUAACGGCUUACCAAGGCAAC